rnacentral:rRNA from 1 species
AACGAACGCUGGCGGCAUGCCUAAUACAUGCAAGUCGAACGAGAUCUUCGGAUCUAGUGGCGCACGGGUGCGUAACGCGUGGGAAUCUGCCCUUGGGUUCGGAAUAACUUCUGGAAACGGAAGCUAAUACCGGAUGAUGACGUAAGUCCAAAGAUUUAUCGUCCAAGGAUGAGCCCGCGUAGGAUUAGGUAGUUGGUGAGGUAAAGGCUCACCAAGCCGACGAUCCUUAGCUGGUCUGAGAGGAUGAUCAGCCACACUGGGGCUGAGACACGGCCCAGACUCCUACGGGAGGCAGCAGUAGGGAAUCUUGGCCUAUCGGCGAAGGCCUGAUCCAGCAAUGCCGCGUGAGUGAUGAAGGCCUUAGGGUUGUAAAGCUCUUUUACCCGGGAUGAUAAUGACGGUACCGGGAGAAUAAGCUCCGGCUAACUCCGUG